rnacentral:lncRNA from 1 species
UUUGCAAAGUCAUAGUUUGUAUUGGAUGACUUGGAUUUUAUAAAAUAAAAUAGGGUUUAUAUUUUGAGUGAUUUCAAGAGUUUUAUAAUAGAUCUACAGGUGAAAUUUUGUGGAUUUAUGGUUAUAGUUGUGUUUAAUAUGUGUUGUGAAUCUUAGCUCGAUCUGACGGUUGAAUUGAGGAAUAUUGAGGUUUAAGUGGGUUAAGGUCUCAAAAAGUAGAAUUUUAGGUCUAGUGAGGAUUUUUAAGAUUUCUUGCAAUCUACUAAUUGGAUUGGAGUGAAACUUAUGUGACAAGAUAUUAGACUUGUUUUGCUAUAUGUAUGAGAAUUUGAAGAUCAAUCGAACGGUGCAAUAGAGAGAUAUUAGCUCUGGAAGAUUGAUAUCAAGGUUGGAGAAGGAGGCCGACCAAUACCUGAGUACGUUUUUGAGGUUAUUGUCUAUCUGGUAAUUCCGAUCCUUUUCAAAAUUUUAGUGAUUGUUUCCAACUUAGUUUUUAAAAAUUUUGCAAAAUUUGAGUUAAGAUCAACGGUUUAUUUAUUAAUUAUUGAGGUUUAAAUAUGUUGUAGGAAUUACUAGGAUUUGGUUUAGGAUUUAGGAUUUAGAUUAGGGUUUGAUUUAGGAUUUAGGAUUUGUAUUAGGAUUUGAUUUAGGAUUUAGGGUUUGAUUGGGAUUUUAUUUAAGAUUUAGAAUUUGGUUAGGAUUUGAUUUAGGAUUUAAGAUUUGGAUUAGGGUUUGGUUUAGGAUUUGAUUUAGGAUUUAGGAUUUGGUUUAGGAUUUGGUUAGGAUUUGGUUAGGAUUUGGUUUAGGAUUUAGUUGGGAUUUGGUUUAAGGUUUAUUUAGGGUUUGAUUUAGGAUUUAGGAUUUUAUUAGGAUUUAAGAUUUAAUUAGUUUUGGCCUAAAGUUUGAAUGAAGUUCAAUAGAAUUUUAACUAGAAUUAAAUUAAGAUUGAAUUGAGAUGUAUUUGAGUGAUAUUUGUGAUCCUUCUAAUAUUUCUUUAAGAAUUUUUCUUGUUUUUUUAAAAUUCCUUUGAGGUUUUUUUGAAUUUGAAUAAGCUUGCUUAGUAUUAUUAUGGUCUAAUUAGAGCAUUGUUAGUAUUCUAUUAGAAUUACGAUUUUGUUAUUGUAAUUUCCAUUCUUCCUUCCACAGCCAAGUACCUAGAGUAUUGUCAAGCAAGACUUCACAUAUUAUGAUAUUUAUAGAAAGCAACAAAAGAUUGGAGACUAGAAUUGAAGAGAAUAAUUUUUUUAUUAUACUUUUUAUAUACUGUUUGAUGAAUUUGGAGUUUGGAUGAAGAAGUUAUAGAGGAUUAAAGUCAUUGCAUCCAAAUCAAAGGCAAUAAGUGAGCGGUUUUGUUUAUAGUAAUAGUUGGAGCUAUAACUUGAGUUUUUGAAUGAAUUUUUGGCUCAAAUGUUUGGAGAAUGUAAAAUUCUUUUUUAAAAAGCUAUACAUACAAACUUCGUGGCAUUUGAGCUUUUAUUUUGUGAGAUAUAAAGAAAAUUUCAUGUAGGUGUAUAAAGACAAGGGUUUGAAGAGAUUGUUAGGAUUUUCAAGAUAUCUCAAGAUCCGCUGUCAUGUUGUGGUUUGGCUAUUAUAUGAAAAUAAUGUAAUUAUG